UGAGCAAUCUGCCCUUCUCUUCGGAAUAAGCGUUGGAAACGACGUCUAAUGCCGAAUACGACCUCCUUUCGCAUGAUCGGAGGUGGAAAGCUCCGGCGGAGAAGGAUGAGCUCGCGGCCUAUCAGCUAGUUGGUGUGGGUAAUGGCCCACAAGGCGACGACGGGUAGCCGGCCUGAGGAGGGUGACCCGGCCACACGUGGGACUGAGACACGGCCCAGACCUCCGUACGGGAGGCAGCG
rnacentral:rRNA from 1 species